rnacentral:rRNA from 1 species
UAGGGAAUCUUCCACAAUGGACGCAAGUCUGAUGGAGCAACGCCGCGUGAGUGAAGAAGGUUUUCGGACCGUAAAGCUCUGUUGUUGGUGAAGAAGGAUAGAGGUAGUAACUGGCCUUUAUUUGACGGUAAUCAACCAGAAAGUCACGGCUAACUACGUGCCAGCAGCCGCGGUAAUACGUAGGUGGCAAGCGUUGUCCGGAUUUAUUGGGCGUAAAGCGAGCGCAGGCGGAAGAAUAAGUCUGAUGUGAAAGCCCUCGGCUUAACCGAGGAAUUGCAUCGGAAACUGUUUCCUUGAGUGCAGAAGAGGAGAGUAGAACUCCAUGUGUAGCGGUGGAAUGCGUAGAUAUAUGGAAGAAUACCAGUGGCGAAGGCGGCUCUCUGGUCUGCAACUGACGCUGAGGCUCGAAAGCAUGGGUAGCGAACAGGAUUAGAUACCCUGGUAGUCCAUGCCGUAAACGAUGAGUGCUAAGUGUUGGGAGGCUUCCGCCUCUCAGUGCUGCAGCUAACGCAUUAAGCACUCCGCCUGGGGGAGUACGACCGCAAGGUUGAAAC